CCCAUUGGAGUCUCUUCAACAGCCCAUCUGGUGUCCUCUGCUUUCCCUGUCCAUCCUCCUUCACAGAUGGGGUCUGCCAACAUCCUUGCCCUCAUCUUGGCUCUUCUCCCAGGUGUCCUUACUGAGGUGCAGCUAGUGCAGUCUGGGGCAGAAGUGAAAAGGCCUGGGGAGCCUCUGACAAUCUCCUGUAAGGCCUCUGGAUACAGCUUUACCAGUUAUUGGAUUGGCUGGGUGCGCCAGCAACCAGGGAAGGGCCUGGAGUGGGUAGGAAGCAUUUAUCCUGGUGACUCAGAUACACGCUACAGCCCAUCCUUCAAAGGUCAAGUCACCAUCUCCACAGAAAACUCUGCCAGCACUGCCUACCUGAAGUGGACCAGCCUGAAGGACUCAGACACAGCUGUGUAUUACUGUGCAAGAGACACAGUGAGAGAAACCACAUCCUGA